GAGGAAGGGGAGGAAGGCGUGAAAAAAGAAACCCACACACAAAAGACCUCAUCAAAUCCACCCCAAUACACUACACCAGACACAAAACAAGAGACAAAACCCUCACAAUAGCUCAUUUUGGACCAUUUAGGGAGUGGCAAAGACGUGACAGAGGCCGAGGAAGGGGAGGAAGGCGUGAAAAAAGAAACCCACACACAAAAGACCUCAUCAAAUCCACCCCAAUACAUAACAGAGGACACAAAACAGGAGACAAAACCCCCACAAUAGCUAUUUUUGGACCCUUUUAAGAGGCGGGGGGAAGGUUGACCGCGGCUCCAACAGAUGGCGACAGUUGUCCAAUCAAUCCACAAACAUGAAGGGGCUCUGAGGUGUGUGGCGGACCUGUCUUAUGUGUAUAUGUGUGGCCAGUGGACUUAACGAGCGAUUACCACCAUGGGGACUUAACCACCGGGUCUCAGAGGCUACCAGAGGACAACGAAAGGGCAACGAACGGCGGAAACAUGUCUGGAAAAGGGGAAAAGGAAGGUUGUCGCAUUUGGCUGGAAUUCCAUGAUUCCUGAAAAAUUCCAACUUUUUACUGGUGCGAUGUACAGAAAAAAAGUAUUGAAGAAAAGUUGCUUAUUUUAUCACAAUGGAGUGAAAAAUAUAGUUUAUAAUCUUUGACCUGGAAAUUUACUGCCUACAGAGAGCCAAAGUUGUGGUGAAACUCAAUAAAUAAUUUUGGUAAA